rnacentral:lncRNA from 13 species
GCUGUGACUACAGGGCACAGGGAAUGUUUCAAGUGUACACAACCCAAUGUUUGUGGCUGUGUGUGGCAAAGCUCUGUAGGAAGGAGGCACAAUUGCAAUGCAACUCAUUUAAAAGCGUUAUGAGGAAACAUGCCUCCCCCACAGGGGCAUCUGGAGUGCACAGACUUUUUUCCAUGAUAAGUCUCCCAGCAGGAGGCACUGACCUGUUUUUAUCUGCCAUUCAUCUUUGGGCCCUCUCCCAUUCUUUCAGAGCUAAGCAAGGAUAUUCGAAGAGCCAGGAUGUUGAAGUAAAAGGACUUAAUGCAAAUAGCUUUUUUUCCUCCCAUCCCAUCUGCCACAGACUCGGAACAAGAUGUGGUAAUAGAGGAACACAGAAAGAUACCAGAAACUGAAGUUACCUACAAAUUUCGGAAGAGUCACCCACGGUUUGCACACUCCCUAGGAAACAUCUGAGAUACAGUGAAACCCCAAAAGAACUUCUCAUUAUGCCCUCACUUGUGCAGAUGCAGACCCAGCUGAAGAAUAGAACUCAGAAAGGUAUUGCUACAGAAAAGUAAGCUAAAUCCAAACAUCUUGUGAAGUAUCUAGCCUAAGACUGGGAGAAAGGGAUUACUCCAAUCCUGAACUGCAUCCAAGCAGAGUCAGCUUUUGAACUCUUAAUCUGAAUGCGGUUCAGAAGAGGUGUCUAAAUUGCACCCAAAGGUGUGCCAAAGCUCCUUCCUCAGCUGUCCGUGUCAAAGUGAGGUAGAGUCUCUUCCCAUAUUGGACAAACUUUUAAAAAAUUGUAUCAGAUAAACCACCCCAAAUUUCAGACUGUUUAUCCAAAGCUUGCCUGAAUGAGCCAGAUCUCUUUGGCAAGUAAAAAUGGGCCUGAAUGUCUUGCAACAACACCCAUACUUGAAGCAAUCAGCCACUUCCAAAAGUUUUGCCCACUCCUGAACAGCAUAUGAGGGCAGCCAUCACAGAUGACGUAAAGGAAGCACCUGGGAGGACCUAGAAACCGAAAGCAUAUUCAACAUGAUGGGCAAUCAUGCUAUAUACCAGAAUCCUGCUGCAAUGCUGUGCAAGAUUUAAAAAGUUCCUAAAACUGAAGGGCAGAGGAAAAGAAAAAGAAGAAAAAAAUCAGCUUCUGGCCAAAGCUGCACCUACUUUAUGUUGGCUGGAGCAGUCUGCAGCCACCCUUAUCUCAAAUGCUGAGGUGUGGCUCAUGCAGCCAGCACGCUCUGACAUGCAGCACACAGCAAAUCUGAGCACUUGCUUAUCAGAUCAAAAUGAAGCACUGCUUGCUGGGACCUGUAGUCUCUGAAGACCGUACCUCUUUAAAAAAGACAGCCAGCCACAGGGCACAUCACAAAACUGAGGAUUCCAUGUGGCCCUCCCACGGUU